rnacentral:misc_RNA from 1 species
UGAGAGGCCCUGCUUAAAUC